UACGAAGGUGGCAAGCGUUACUCGGAAUUACUAGGCGUAAAGGGCAGGUAGGCGGUCUUGUUAGUCUGUUGUGAAAGCUCCUUGCUUAACGGGGAGAGGCCAACAGAUACUGCAAGGCUUGAGUAUAGGAGAGGGUACUGGAAUUCCCGGUGUAGCGGUGAAAUGCGCAGAGAUCGGGAGGAACACCAAUGGCGAAAGCAGGUACCUGGACUAUUACUGACGCUCAGCUGCGAAAGCUAGGGGAGCAAACAGG
rnacentral:rRNA from 1 species